GUUGCAAUUGAUUGCAAAUCGACUGCAACUUUGCAGCCGAUCCCGAUCGACUGCAACUAGCAAUCAAUCGCCAAUUUGCGUUGCAAGAAAAAGGCUUGCGAUUGAACGCAAGUUGCAGCUGAUUUGCAGACGAUUUGCAGCUGUAAACAGGGUCUGCAGCACAAGACUAGCUGAUGAAGCAAAAUAAUCCUUGCAAUAAUCGUGAUUGUGGAAGAGAUUAUGACAAGGAAGUCUGGAAUAAACCGAACCACCAUAACUGUGUCUGCUACCAUGUGUGUUCUUGCAACCAGCUGAUUGAUUCAUUUUAUCAACUCUUGAAUGGUUGAUUAUCAGAACUGAAUUCAGAGCUGCUCCUGUCUGUAGUAAGAUCAUUUAGAGUGGACUUCAGAAUGAGGGCGUUGCUUGUUUAAAAUCUUCACUCCAUGAAGCUCUCCAAAUUCAUCUCAAAUUAGACUGCUUCUGGAAACCAGAUUUGUUCCUUCAAGCAGAGACGCUUGUGGCUUUCCUGACUGGACUUCUAUGGAUUCUUCAUGCCAACCUUAAGGACUGUGGUCUUCUGCAUGAUACGUCAAUUUCAAACAAGACAUUCUGUGGUGAAACACUUGGAUGUAGAUGAUAUGAAAUUUUAUUUCAUAUAACUGAAUCUCAGAAGUAAUUCCUCGGGAGCAAGAAACAUUGAAAAAUAAAAAUAAAAGGUCCAUCAAUAAUGAAUGUCUUGAGCAGUGUUCUUUUUUGUGCACAGAUCAAUGGAUCUUUUCAAGUCCAAGCAGGGAUGUAGUCAAUGCUGACCUCGGGGCAACAUUUUGCUGGCCUUGGUCCGAGUCACUGUACAGAAUCUAUGGGAAGUUCUCUCAAGCUGCCUCAUGACUCGGAAGAAUCAGCCUCGACCUCAUCCCUGUAUGCAAGUGUGAUAUAUAUCUACGAUGCAAUCUUAUGAUUAAAGAGAGCUUCAGAUUUUGAAGUGUAGCAAUCUCCUGAAAUGUAUGUUUUAUUUGAAAAUCAAACUAAAAUAACUUAAUUGGGCAUGUUAUUCAUUAUGAUAUGUAUGAAUGAAAGCAUUUAAGCAAUUUAGUGCUCUUGCAAAAUAAAUUCUGAGUUGUAUUUACUGCAAACCCUCAGAUAUAUUUAUAAGCAUUUGCCAGUG